rnacentral:rRNA from 1 species
AUGUCCCUGUCGGAUGGGCUGCUUUUUUGUUUCAGUUCAGAUCCCUUUUGCUUUGCUUGUAUGGCUUGUUUCCUCGCUCAACAUCACCUACCCAGCAAACAAACUAGUCUAUUGUUUGCCCCGUAUUCCUUCCAUUUUUAUUUGUUUGUUUCCUGCAUUUUUAGAUGUUCUUUUACUGAUUUGAUUCUUAAUUUUAGUUGUACUUCGCUAUUGGUCUCGAUGAGCACUGGUUCUCAUUUGUGUAUCAAAGAUAAAGCUUUUGUGUUUGUUGAUUCGGCUUAUGGAGAGAACUCAUUGUAUCACAGAGAUAUCCAUGAUGAGCUGGUAAUUUUUCUUUACUACAUGAAUAGUUUUUAA